rnacentral:rRNA from 1 species
UAAUAAGAUAAUUAAUUUAUUUUAAUGGGGGUUAAAGUAAUUUUAAUAGAAAAAAUUAAAAGUUUUAUAGUGUAAUAAAGUAUUGUAAAAGAAUUUUGAAAUAAAUGAAAAAAAAAAAUUAAUUAAAAGUAAUUUUUAUUUAAUGUAUCUUGUGUAUCAGAGUUUAUUAAAAAAUAUUCUUUGAAUUAUAGAAAUUCUCGAAUUUAAGAGAGAUAAUUAAUUAGAAAAGUUAUUGUGAUAUAAAUAUUUUUAAUAAUUAAUUGGAAAUGAAAUGUUAAAUCGUUCUUAAAUAUAUCUAGUUUUUUUAGAAAAAAAUUUAAUUUUCAAUUUAUCAUUUUUUUUUAUAAAUUAAUUAAUUAAUUUAUAAAAAUAUAAAUUUUAUAUUUUAAGGGAUAAGCUUUAAUUUAAAUAAAUAUAAUAAAUUAAAUUUAUUUUUUUUUGAAAAUUAUAUAAUUUAUAUUGUUAAUAAAUUUUAAUUUAUUAUAAAUAAUUUCAAUAAUAUAAGUAAAAUUUAAAUAAAAAUUUAAAAAUUUAUAAAAAAAAAUUUUUUAAUAAUAAAAAUUUAAUUAUAAUGAUAAAAUUAGUAUAUAAAUUUAAAAAUAAAAUAAAUUUUAAGUUAAUUAAUUAAAAGGAAUUCGGCAAAAAUUUAUAUUCACUUGUUUAACAAAAACAUGUCUUUUUGAAAAUAAUAUAAAGUCUGAUCUGCCCACUGAUUUAAAAAUUAAAGGGCUGCAGUAUAUUGACUGUACAAAGGUAGCAUAAUCAUUAGUCAUUUAAUUGAUGACUUGUAUGAAAGAUUGGAUGAAAUAUAAACUGUCUCUUAAUUAAUUUAUAGAAUUUAAUUUUUUAAUUAAAAAGUUAAAAUAAUUUAAAAAGACGAGAAGACCCUAUAGAGUUUUAUAUUUUAUAAAAUUUAAAUUAUUUAUAAAAUUAUAAAUUUUAAUUUUAUAAAAUAUUUUAUUGGGGUGAUAAAAAAAUUGGAAAAACUUUUUUUUAAGAAAAACAUAUAUAAGUGAGUAAAUGAUCCAGUAAUAUUGAUUAUAAGAAAAAAUUACCUUAGGGAUAACAGCGUAAUUUUUUUUUUUAGUUCAAAUAAAAAAAAGAGUUUGCGACCUCGAUGUUGGAUUAAGAUAAAAUUUAAAUGCAGAAGUUUAAAAUUUUGAUCUGUUCGAUCAUUAAAAUCUUACAUGAUCUGAGUUCAAACCGGUGUAAGCCAGGUUGGUUUCUAUCUUUUAAAAAAUAAAAUAUUUUAGUACGAAAGGAUUAAAUAUUUAAAUUAAAUUUAUUUUAUUGAAUUUUAUUAAAUU